UACGAAGGGGACUAGCGUUGUUCGGAUUUACUGGGCGUAAAGAGCGCGCAGGCGGUCGUUCAAGUCGAGUGUGAAAGCCCCCGGCUCAACUGGGGAGGGUCACUCGAUACUGAUCGACUCGAAGGCAGGAGAGGGUAGUGGAAUUCCCGGUGUAGUGGUGAAAUGCGUAGAUAUCGGGAGGAAUACCAGUGGCGAAGGCGGCUUCUUGGCCUGUUCUUGACGCUGAGGCGCGAAAGCUGGGGGAGCAAACGGG
rnacentral:rRNA from 1 species